rnacentral:rRNA from 1 species
AGUGAACGCUGGCGGUAGGCCUAACACAUGCAAGUCGAACGGCAGCACAGUAAGAGCUUGCUCUUACGGGUGGCGAGUGGCGGACGGGUGAGGAAUACAUCGGAAUCUACUUUUUCGUGGGGGAUAACGUAGGGAAACUUACGCUAAUACCGCAUACGACCUACGGGUGAAAGCAGGGGAUCUUCGGACCUUGCGCGAUUGAAUGAGCCGAUGUCGGAUUAGCUAGUUGGCGGGGUAAAGGCCCACCAAGGCGACGAUCCGUAGCUGGUCUGAGAGGAUGAUCAGCCACACUGGACCUGGGACACGGUCCAGACUCCUACGGGAGGCAGCAGUGGGGAAUAUUGGACAAUGGGGGCAAGCCUGAUCCAGCCAUCCCGCGUGGGUGAAGAAGGCCUUCGGGUUGUAAAGCCCUUUUGUUGGGAAAGAAAAGCAGCAGGUUAAUACCCCGCUGUUCUGACGGUACCCAAAGAAUAAGCAACGGCUAACUUCGUG